UGCCUUUUAAUUGGAGGCUGGUAUGAAUGGUUUGACGAGGGCUGAGCUGUCUCUCCUGGAAUAUUUAAAAAUUAACUUCUAAGUGAAAAGGCUUAGAUUUAGCUGAGGGACGAGAAGACCCUGUUGAGCUUUAGUGUGGAAUAAAGGGGUUGUUUCUAUUAGAAUAGAGGAUUUUAAAUUUAUUCUUACAUCUUUAGUUGGGGUGACUAGGGAACAUGAAAAGCUUCUCUGUUAAUUUGUAGAAUUUUGGUUUACUAACAAGUGAUCCAGCAUUGUUGAUUAUCGGAAAAAGUUACCACAGGGAUAACAGCGUAAUCUUUCUGGAGAGUUCACAUUGAAAGAAGGGUUUGCGACCUCGAUGUUGGAUUAAGGUGUCCUGAGGGUGUAGCAGCUUUCGUUGGUUGGUCUGUUCGACCAUUAAAAC
rnacentral:rRNA from 1 species